AAAUGGAUGGCGCUCUAGCGUCGUGCCUAUACCNGGGCNCGUCAUACGNGCACAGUGGGCGUCUGUCUUCGGGCAAGAGCCGUUAUGCCUUGACGAGUAGGAGGGUCGCGGCGGUGAGCGCAGAAGGGUCUGGGCGUGAGCCCGCCUGGAGCCGCCGUCGGCGCAGAUCUUGGUGGUAGUAGCAAAUACUCUAGCGAGGGCCUGGAGGACUGACGUGGAGAAGGGUUUCUUGUGAACAGCCGUUGCACAAGAGUCAGUCGACCCUAAGCACUAGGAGAAAUCCGAUGUUGAUGGGUGGCUAUACAAAACCAUGUUCUGUUUGUUGCGAACGCUUCUCAAGCCCCUUCCGUAAUGGUUGCAGGGCAGCGAAGCGCCAAUAAAUUCACCUCUUGGGCUGUGAGAAAUUCGUCAGACACCCGUCGUGCAAGCGACCAGGGGCCGACGACAUGACUUUUGCCCAUCGAGGGAGGAUGCAGCGUAACAACUGCUCCUGUCGUGCAAAAGGGAAUCCGGUUCCUAUUCCGGAACCCGGCUGCGUAACCGCCACUCUGCGGGCACUCGCCUGCGAGCGCUCGUCGGGGUAACCCAAACUGGCCCGGAGACGCCGGCGGGGGGUCUGGAAAGAGUUUUCUUUUCUUUAUAAGCGUUCGAGUACCCUGGAAUCCUAUAGCAGGGAGAUAGGGUUUGGAACGCGAAGAGCACCGCAGUUGCGGCGGUGUCCGGACUUCCCCCCCGGACCUUGAAAAUCCGGGUGAGGGCUACGCGGAAGUCGCGCCGGAUCGUACCCAUAUCCGCAGCAGGUCUCCAAGGUAAGAGCCUCUAGUCGAUAGAAUAAUGUAGNNAAGGGAAGUCGGCAAACU
rnacentral:rRNA from 1 species